UUGGAAAUCAGCUUUUGAUGUAGGAGUUAGCGUAAUAAAAUAAAGUUUUACCUACCUACCUACCUAUAAAUUUAUGCUAUUUUACUCACAUGUUGCUCGUACUGCGUAACAUUUUCUCUUUGUCCCACAGUCGCCAGAAGCCAACAUCACGUUUCCCUUCUUUGUGUACACGAACGACUAGAUUUUCGUCCUAUUUUCGUGCUCGAUAAUAAAUCUCUCUUGCAUUUUUCUUUCCCUCUCAAUUUUUUUUUCUCCUUUAGACAUCCCUGUAUAUCUCUCUCGCUCUUUCUUGUUUAAUUAUUUUUCGUCUUUUACGACAAAUUCCUCGAUCGUGUUCGGCCUGGAAAGCCGAGAACCUAGCUUCGAAAGUAUAUGCUCGCAUUGUCUCGCUGGUUGCACUGAGAUUUCUCCCAGAUCGUGACGCGAGUCCCACCAUUAGCAAGUGCGCCACUCGCUGUGUGGAAUGUCGUGUUAAAAUGCGCCAUAUCAACCGACUUUACGUAAGCUCAUACGACCAGACGAAACAGAGAAAAAGCAUAUUAUUUCUUGAGAUUUGCCGUUCUUGCUUGCUGGUGAUCAAGUGCAAAUUCCCGCGCGCGCGCUUUCUUUACAAAUUACUGCACAAAUAUAUAUUACCUUCCCUCCCUCCCUCGUGCAGGUCAAGCAAUUGUCUGUUCGCUUGCUGUAUAUUUUACAGUACUGGAAUGGAAAAUUUUGACCAAAUAUAACUGUUAUUUCUGUCUGCAGUUGUGCAAGUAACAUCACUUUUAUGGAUGAUGGUAUAUUGGUGUUCUACUGAGCGAAUUUUUGGCUAGAUGUUGCUCGUCGAAACAAGUUAAUUAACAGUUAUUCUACGAACUCGAGUCAAAAAUGAGCUGAUAGCCGA